AGUGAACGCUGGCGGUAGGCCUAACACAUGCAAGUCGAACGGCAGCACAGUAAGAGCUUGCUCUUACGGGUGGCGAGUGGCGGACGGGUGAGGAAUACAUCGGAAUCUACUUUUUCGUGGGGGAUAACGAAGGGAAACUUACGCUAAUACCGCAUACGACCUACGGGUGAAAGCAGGGGAUCUUCGGACCUUGCGCGAUUGAAUGAGCCGAUGUCGGAUUAGCUAGUUGGCGGGGUAAAGGCCCACCAAGGCGACGAUCCGUAGCUGGUCUGAGAGGAUGAUCAGCCACGCUGGAACUGAGACACGGUCCAGACUCCUACGGGAGGCAGCAGUGGGGAAUAUUGGACAAUGGGCGCAAGCCUGAUCCAGCCAUACCGCGUGGGUGAAGAAGGCCUUCGGGUUGUAAAGCCCUUUUGUUGGGAAAGAAAAGCAGCAGGUUAAUACCCCGCUGUUCUGACGGUACCCAAAGAAUAAGCACCGGCUAACUUCGUG
rnacentral:rRNA from 1 species